CUCCGUCCAGCGCAGGCUUUGCUUUGACUCCCGAUGAACUCAUGCAUCCCUCGGGGGCCUGGGACAUCUGCACACUCUGGCCACACCCAGAAUGAUUUCAUUUGAUUCCCGGCAUGGGAGCUCUGGAAUGCUUAUUUCAAGGCUCCUCUGCCACCUGGGGGGAUGCUGAGGGCCAAGCAGCUCUGCCCUAAGCCCCUGCUCUCUGACCCCGCUUCACACGCCUGUCCCUGGUUCCCAUCCUCCACGCCCACCAUGAGCACCAGCUGCACUGCCAGGCUGGUCCUGACAGCACGCCCAGGCUUGCGGUCUCCACUCGGCUCCUAAACCAGACGCCCUCCCCUUCACCCCCUGAUCUUCUGCCAUCCGGUCCUUUGCCCUGGGAUGCUCCUCCUGCUCUACCUCACCAUCUCCUCGGGACCAGCCUUCCCCCAGCCUCAUAGGGUGACCCACCAUCCCAGGGGCCUGGUGACCCCUUCCUCGGGGUGUUGAGGACCCCUGUGGAGCCUCCAGCAUCUGUGCUUUCCUGCAUCCAGGCACAGUGAAGGCUGCAGGAUAUCUGCUCACUGUCUCCUCUGCUAGGUCCCCUUGAGGGCCAGAACCUCGCUGCACCAGUGGAUGUCACCUGAGAAGUGGUCACAGUGUUCACUGGGCAGGUUAACUUAUUCCACAAGUACUUGGACACGCAACCCUGAAGGAGGCGUGGUUCUGUCGGCCCCAGAAUAUGAGCUCGCGCAAUCCUCACGGCAUUCCUGUUGGGUACUCGCCAUCGCCUUCCCAUUUUACAGCACUUCACGCACCUGGCCUCGUGCAGCGAGAGCUCCUCUGGGCCUGGCUCCUGUCACUCAGCACGAUGAUUGUGAGUUUCCUUCCUGCGCUGCAUAGGUGAGGAGCUCGUCUCUGCUCACUACUGAGCACCGUUCACCGUGUGGACACACAGAGCUGUGCAUAUUCCUUCACCUGUUGGGAGACAUGUGGGUUGCUCCCUUUUGGAGAUACUAUGAAUGUGGCUGUCAUGAACAUUCAUGCCCAAGACAACAAAAACACCGACAACUCCAGCGAGGUCAAGCGCUGCACUUCCACAGACAUCCCCACCGCUCCUCUGGUGCGUCCUUCCACCACUGCCCUGGAGCUGUUCCAAGGCUCCUCAGCCUCCCUGCCAACUGACUGACUGCCGGACACGUUCAACCCAGAGAUCUUACAGUUCAAAAUGCCGCGUUGUGGCCACUUGUUGACGGGCGCCUUCCACCAGACGGGGAAACAGCUUUACUGUGCAGCAGGUCCUCCCUGGGAAACGGGGAGUGAGAUGAGGCUGCAGGUGAAUGGGCUGAAACCUCCCCCAGCCCCUCCCGGCCUCACCUAGCCGUGUCCUGCUGCAGGAGGUGCCUGCGGAGUUGCUUCACCGGGUCUGGAUGAGUUAACCUUGAUGCCCUUCCUCCGGCAGAGAGGGACUUCUGUGCACAACACGCCAACCAGAGGAGCCCGUCUCAUCAGAAAGGCGGGCUCUCCAGCACAGCUAGAGCAGGUGGGACAAUGAGUGAGGCAAGAGGGGCUCAGGCAGCCCAGCUGACGGAUUAACUGUGAGUGCGUGGGGUGGGAGCGGCCAGAGAGCGGAGGUGGGAAGCGAGGCUUGAGGAAGAGGGGCAGCCGGCAGCAGGGGCUGAUGUCUCUGAGAAGAGAAGCCCAUCCGUGAAAGGCCGAAACUUCAAAUAUUCAACUUGCAUACCUGGGGAUCCUUGUGUUCUUUUGCUAGCAUUUGUUUUAAGUAUGCAGGGCCCACUCCCACAUUCUCUGAACCCUGCCUGUCCUGGACGCCAGGAGCUUUGGUCUCCAUCACUGGGAGAGGUGAGUCACCCCAUCUCUGUCUCCGUAGCCACUGACCCACGGACUUUUAUCAUUUUCCCCCAAGAAUUCUGUGAAAGUGUCCCAAUCAUUUUUCUGCCUCCGGUCUCAUCUUUCUCAAAUGUUCCCUCAACAACGAGACCUCUUCUGAAACACAAACCACCACACUGCGUCCCCAGAGCCGAGAUGGCACCACUGCACUCCAGCCUGGGCCACAGAGCAAGACUCUGUCUCAAAAAAAAAAAAAAAAUAGAUUACAGUGAUGGAAAUAUAUUAAAAAUCACUGAAUGAACUGUAUACUUCAAAAGGUGGAAUUUUAUGGCAUAUAAAUUAAUCUCAGUAAAGCUAAUUUUAAAAUAGAAUGAUGCUAUCUAGGUCCCUCAGGCUCCAUUCUGAUGCUUGAACAAAUGCUUGUUGAGUCCCUAACAGUGUGUCCCAGUGGAGCAUGACAGAAAGAGUUCUGGCUGGAAAGACUUUCAAACCAAGAUCAUCAGUCCCCCAUCCAGAGGCAGGGAAAACCUCAGUGGAGCCUCAAGGAGCACCCUACUCCAGGCAACAUGGUUUCUCCCUGUGCCCACCAAGAAGAGUAAUCCCCAGAGAGAUAAAGAAAUGAUUCACUUCAUGAAAGUAUUUACCUUUCACCCACAGUGUCUCCAGGAGGUCUGCCCGUGGCGUACGUGUGCUGUCUGCCCAGCACCACCAGUUCUGGGAGCAGCACGGCCUGUUUCCUGGAAGCUACAUCCACGUGCAUUGCAUCCAUACGACUCCUGUGUGCUUUGUUCCCAGGAUUGGUUAUGGGCUUGGGCCUGACUCAAGACUGCGUGACUGCAGGGCUCAGCCUGACUGUUACUAAAGUGUGCCCCAUUCCCUGAACGUGUAGACUUGGGCAGUGAAGGAGGGGGAGCCCUCUCUCUUUUUGACUGUGGCUAGGCAAUAAAAGUCUAGGAAGCUCUCAGCAGCCAGGGAGGAAGGCAGGCGCUGGAGCGAUAGGGGCCAGUGGGGCCAGGAUGAGGGAGAAUUUCCUACAGCGCUGGUGUUCCAGUUCUGAUGAGCCUCAGGCCCACAGGCAUCAUGGCCCCCCACGCAGCUACCCUGGCUUCUGUGGCAAAGGACGAAGAUGAACCCUGGCAUGAUUUCAUUGUUUUAUUAAAUUUCAUUGUCUCCUUUUCACUUAUCUUAUUCAAGUUGGGUUUCUUUCACUUGCUAAUAAAAGUCUGAGCAGAUAGAUUACUAAAAAUGAUUUUGUUUCACCGACUUUAACUCAUUCCAGCAUUAUUUACUGAGGCACCGCUGUGUGCUAGGUGGCAUUCCAGGUGCUGCGUAUUUAUCCAGGAGCCAGCCAGAAGCCCCACCCUGUGGAGUCUGUGUCUUCACCUACAGGAAAUUGCUCAUCCCGUCAUGGAUUCACAGACACUUACUGAAUUCCUAAUAAAUAAACUCUUCAUUCAGUAGCGUUAAAUAAGUUUCUUGAAGCUAGACUGUUGAUAUUUUGAGAGAUAUUGUCCAUACUCCUGGUCACCUCUGAUUUAAGGGCAUGCAGGACCUGAGCAUUUUACCAACCUACUUAGUGCAUUAGCCAGGGUUCUCUAGAGGGACAGAACUCAUAGGAUCUAUGUAUAUAUGAAAAGGGAGUUUAUUAAGGGGAAUUGACUUACAUCAAGAGUGGUUUGCCAGGGGCUCUCGGGCCUUUGGCCACAGACUGAAGGCUGCGCUGUCGGCUUCCCGACUUUUGAGGUUUUGGGACUCCUCGGACUGAGCCACCACUGGCUUCCUUGCUCCUCGACUUGGAGGCAGACUUUCAUGGGACUUCACCUUGUGAUCCUGUGAGUCCGUUCUCCUUAAUAAACUCCCUUUCAUGUACACAUAUAUCCUAUUAGUUCUGAGGAAGAGUGGAAGUUGCACUUAACUGAGAACGUGUUUAGUCAUUUCCCAUUAUGCAAAACACUGCGGGGAUUUCUCCAGCCCUGCUAUUAUGUGGGAGAACAGGUCUCAGGUAAAAGUUCAAAAUUAUCGAAGUGAAGAAAGUAAUUCACUAAAGGGUCUGAUGAUCAAGCUUGUCAGCUGCUAAUAAGACAGCUGAGAAGAAGACUGAGCUGAAUGUUGCACGUGGAAAUGCCAAAGUCUUCACUGAUGUCAAUAAAAAUAAAAAAAAAUAAAAAAAUAAAAAUAAAAAUAAAAAAAAAUAAAAAAAUAAAAAAAAAAAACUGGUUUUGAUGCACAGGUGAGACUAAUAUCUCUAAUUGUCAAUUGUCCAUAAUUAUUGAUAAAUUAGCUUUCCCUCCGCCUUUUAAAGUCUGGAGUUUGGGCUGCUAUGCCAUUCUUAUCUAGUGCCAAUAUUUACAACACAAAGAAAUUUAGCAUGUUUUAAACAAAUAACACUACUUAUAAGUAGAAUUCAAGUCUUUGUCUAAUCCAAUGUACAAAAAAAAUUGUAUUUAUGUCCUGAGUUUCACAAUUUUUCAUCUUAAACUAUUUCAGUUUCUCAAUUUUUAAUCACUUGUUCUGGCCACAGAACCAGCCAACAAUUCACGCGCUGGACAUGUUAUUUGAAUGUAUGGUUUUCUGUUGUGUUUGGAUGGGACUUACUUUCUAUUAUUAGUCUAUUAUUUCUAAGUGAAGGACAUGCUAAAAAUGCCUCCAAAACCCAUCGUAUAAUUCAUCCUCCUGGUGUCUUACUUUGUAGUCUUAGGAUUAAAGGGAGAUCAUUCUGAAACAUCGAAAUUUGCAUGUUAAAGGGGACUGCCUGAAAGGAGGAAGCGCUUUUCUCAGGAAACCAUAAUUACACAACAGAAUAAGAAAGUGGUGAUCGCAGUGGCCUGCGCCUAAACACCGCCUUCUUCAGGAUCGUAAAUUCCUAAGAAUCCAGAGCCGAAAGAGACCCUGCAGAUAGAAAAUCAAGUUCAAGCCUGUCGUUUAAACGAUGGGAACUUGAUGCACACACACAAGGAAAUUAACCGACUUUCAUAGGUUAACUUUGCCCAGUGAUGACUGAGAAUACCUAAAAUAAAUGACUUUCCAUGAGUCCUUGUAUGAAGAUUCUGGGUGACAGGGGAAAUGAAUUAGAAAUGGGUAAAUAUACAUGCACCCCAGUUACAUAGCAGCAAAAUCAGAGCUUGGAAUUCCUGCCUCUUUCCUAAUGCUGUGACUGACCUCCACUGCAAUGCUGAGUUGCACUAAUUAGUUCUCAUCCAGAUUCGCCGUCACGUUUUCUAAAGUCCCAUUCCUAAAUAUACUCUUCUAGUCACCUCAGAUGUGAAGAUUUAAGAAUAGACACUUUGUGUGAGCCGAGGUUGUGCCACUGCACUCCAGCCUGGGCGACAGAGCCAGACUCCAUCUCAAAAAAACAAAAAAGAAUAGACACUUUGUAUGUCUUUAUUAAUCACAAUUUGGGGAAUAUGCAACGCAUAUAGAAUGAAGAGUAUCCGCAAAUGGUUAAAUGCCACAAGUACACUUUAAAAAUAAAAUCAGAACCCGGGUCAGGCAUGGUGGCUCAUGCCUGUAAUCCCAGCACUUUGAGAGGCCAAGGCAGGUGGAUCACCUGAGGUCAGGAGUUUGAGACCAGCCUGACCAACACGGUGAAACCCCAUCUCGACUAAAAAAUACAAAAAUUAGCAGGCGUGGUGGUGGGUGCCUGUAAUCCCAGCUACUCGGGAGGCUGAGGCAGGAGAAUCACUUGAACCCAGGAGGCGGAGGUUGCAGUGAGCCAAGAUCAUGCCAUUGCACUCCAGCCUGGGCAACAGAGCAAGAUUCUGCCUCAAAAAAAAAAAAAAAAAAAUCAGAACACACUGGAGGACGUUAGUAAACCCAGCUGUCAGAAAAUGUUUAAAUAUAGGGCAAGUAAGCAAAGUCCUCAUCUAUCAAUCUCUGUUUUCAGACUCUUCAUCUUAGUGCACUCUGGCUGCCAAAACAAAAUAGCAUAAACUGGACUGCAUAUAAAUAGCAUAAAUAAAUUUCUCACGAUGUGAGAGGCUGGGAAGUCCAACACACCAGCGAUUUCAUGUUCCAGUUCAUAAACAGCAUCUUCCCACUGCAUCCCCACAUGGUGGAAGGUGCAGAGCAGCUCUCUGGGGCCUCUUUCAUGAGGCCAUUCAUCCCAUUCAUGAGGGCUCCACCCUCCUGAUCUAAUCCCCUUCCAACCCAUGUCCUACUACCAUCCCUUUGAGGGUUAGGAUUUUAACAUGAAUUUAGGGGCAAUACAGGUAUUUGGACCAUAGCAGAUAUUUACUACAAUAAUAGCCUUUUAACCACAUCUUCAUAUAACACAAUAGAUCAAAUGAUCAAAAAAUUAGUGUUAUUCAUAUAAAAAUAUACAUACAUUCUAAUCAUGAAUAAGCAAAAAAAAAAAAAAAAAAAAAGCUGAAAUUCUGUCAUAAAACAACAGGAAUGUAUUCCCCCACAGUUCUGGAGGCCCGAGGUCUGAGGUCAGGUGUAAGGGCCGCCUUCCCUCUGAAGGCUCUGAGGGAGGACCUGUCCUUCCUCCCCAGCUCCAGGCAGUACCUGCGUUCCUUCGUUAGUGACAGCCUCGCUCCCACCUCUGCCUCUGUCAGCGCGUGGUGUCCUAAGCUAUGUGUGUGUAUGUGCCACAUUUCCCCCUUUGUGUGAAGACACCAGCCAUUGCCUUGGGGCCCAUCCAAAUCCAGGAUGACCUCAUCUUGGUUAAUUACACCUAUUUCCAAAUAAGGUAACAUUCAGAGGUUCCAGGUGAACAUGGAUUUUUGGAGGCCACCUUUCAGCCCAGCACAUGAACAUUCUACAAAAUAACUGGCCAGUAGCCCUCAAAAACCUGAAGAUCUUAAAAAAGAAAGAUUCAGACACUGUCACAAAUAAGAACAGGGGUCCCCAAUCCCUGGUCCGUGGCCUGUUAGAAAUCAGGCCACACAGCAAGAGUUGAGUGGCAGGCCAAGGAGCAUUACCACCUGAGCUCUGCCUCCCAUCAGAUCAGUGGCAGCAUUCGAUUCUCAUAGGAGGCCAGACCCUAUUGUGAGGGACCUAGGUCAUGCACUCCUUAUGAGAACCUAAUGCCUGAUGAUCUGAGGUGGAACAGUUUCAUCCUGGAAACAUCCCCCAGACCCCCAUCCAUGGAAAAAUUGUCUUCCACAAAACCUGUCCCUGGUGCCAAAAUGGUUGGGGACCACUGGAUUAGAAGACAGAAAAAGACAAGGCAACUCAUUCACCUAAUCCUAAGCCGGAUGUUGCCCCAGAAAAGGCCAUUAGUAGGACAACUGAAGGGAUCUGAGUAAGGUCUGUGGAGGGCUUCAUAGCAGGUGCCAAAGUGAGUUCCUUGGUUUCCAUGUUGUACAACAGUUAGGUAUGUCCUUCAUAUUAGAAAGCUGGGUCACCAGUAUACCAGAAAUCUCUGUACUAUUUUCACAGCUUUUCUGUAUGUCCAAAAUAUAUUUUAAACAAAAUGUUUAAACAUUAGUAUGACUAAAGAAGAUGGACACUGCACAGCUAAGACGUUUUAAUGUAAUAGAAUGUAAAGAACCUUGCAUUCCACAAUUUGAAAGCACACAUUCUUUCCCUGCACACUAAGAACGGUUAUAAAAACCACCUGCAAAGCAGACCACAAAGCAAUUCUCAACAAAUACCCAAGAAUUGGGAUCAAAUGAAGCACAUCCACCAUGAGGCUAUAAAAUUAGAAAAUUAUGACAAAAAGAUAACUACAGCCUGCCCUAUGUACAUGUGGACAUCACACAUAUAAACACAUACUUUUACACACACACAAAAUCAGGGCCAAAGAAAAAGCCAAAAAGAAAAUGAUUAUUUUAAGUGAGCAGAAAUGAAAUCCAUGUGGGAUAAUGCAAGGAUGGAAAGAGACUCGUAGUCAUCAAUACAUAUGUCAGGAAAAAAGAUGGGCACUGAGCUUCAAAAGAAGAAGCUAAGUGAGCAAUCAGUAAAAUUAGUAAUGAAUAAAGAAGCCCCAGAGAACAAGGGAGACAGAAGCUACAGUGUUCACUGCAGCAGACUCUUUAGCAUUCAAAAGUGGAAAAACCCUGACUGUCCAUAGCAGAGGAAGACAGACGCUAGGGUUUAUCCACGUAAUAGCAUACACGACAGCUGUCAUGAUGGGUGAGCUGGAGCUACCUGUGCAUAGCAGCUACAUCUCAAAAGCAAAAUGUGAAACAAAAAGCAAGUGACAUAAAGGCACAUAUAGGCUAAUGCAAUUUAUGUGUUUUAAACACACAGAAUACCUGGAAAGCACAAAGUAUGGGAUAUUUUUAGAAGCAAACAAGUAUCAUACAAGUGCAAAAGCUUGCCUGAUCAUGGUACUCACUUACUUCAGAAGAGUGAUUAUUUCUCAGAGGAGAGAAUGAGAGCAGGAAUUAAUGAGCUUCAGCUUUUUCAGUGUUGCUAUUUAUUAAAAAAAGAAAGGAAGGAAAGAAAGGAA
rnacentral:lncRNA from 1 species